rnacentral:rRNA from 1 species
CCUACGGGGCGCAGCAGUGAGGAAUAUUGGUCAAUGGCCGGGAGGCUGAACCAGCCAAGUCGCGUGAGGGAAGACGGCCCUACGGGUUGUAAACCUCUUUUGUCAGGGAGCAAGGUGCAGGUCGGGACCUGCUGUGAGAGUAACUGAAGAAAAAGCAUCGGCUAACUCCGUGCCAGCAGCCGCGGUAAGACGGAGGAUGCGAGCGUUAUCCGGAUUUAUUGGGGUUAAAGGGUGCGCAGGCGGAGGCACAAGUCAGCGGUAAAAUCGCGGGGCCCAACCCCGCUCCGGCGUUGAAACUGUGUGCCUUGAGUGCGCGAAGGGUAGGCGGAAUGCGUGGUGUAGCGGUGAAAUGCAUAGAUAUCACGCAGAACUCCGAUCGCGAAGGCAGCCUACCGGCGCACAACUGACGCUCAUGCACGAAAGCGUGGGUAUCGAACAGGAUUAGAUACCCCUGUAGUC